UUUGUUUGAAGGAAGCCGGAAGCUGAGGAAUGCGUGGCGCGGUUGCGAAAUUCGAAGUAUGAUCAUUCGGAUUAUCUGAGAAAAAAACUCUCGGCGCUUGAUCUGAGGUAACGAACGCACUUCUCCAAGUCUGAAUUUACUAUUCACACUUUUCACUUGAGUGGAUUUGAGGGAGAGUAAUUGAGUGGAUUUUAGAAGAUUUGAAGAUAAUAUUUUUUGUUGUUUAUUUGAGUGAAUUUGGAGGUAAUCGAGAGUGAAUUUAGAAGUAAAUUUUUUUAAUCUGUCACAUAAAUUAAAUCCUAUACUAAUUCUUACAAAUUUUACUUCCAAAUCCAUUCUCGUUUAUCUCCAAAUUCACUCAAAUAAACAACAAAAAAAAAAUUAUCUUCAAAUCCUCUCAAAUCCACUCAAUUACUCCCCCUCAAAUCCACUCAAGUGAACAAAGGCAUUAGGUUGACGAGGAGUGUUGGUCUUGCCGAGGUUCUUUAUUGGUCUAGUAACGAAUUUACCGUAAUUUGAUUUUUGUUGAAAUAAUCUGCAAUUCCUUCUUGAUCAUUCAUAAAAAAGUAGCUUAUAUUGGCUUCUU
rnacentral:lncRNA from 1 species